GUUCAGAACGUCGUGAGACAGUUCGGUCCCUAUCUGUUGCGGGCGUAAGAGAUUUGAAGGGAGCUGUCCUUAGUACGAGAGGACCGGGAUGGACAGACCGCUGGUGCACCAGUUGUCCUGCCAAGGGCAUGGCUGGGUAGCUACGUCUGGACGAGAUAAACGCUGAAAGCAUCUAAGCGUGAAACUCACCCUAAGAUGAGAUCUCUCAUCCUUCAUGGAGUAAGGCUCGAUGUAGACUACAUCGUUGAUAGGCCGGAGGUGGAAGCGCUGUAAGGCGUGCAGCUGACCGGUACUAAUCAGCCGAGGGCUUGACCUC
rnacentral:rRNA from 1 species